rnacentral:rRNA from 1 species
UGGUCAAGUUAUUAAGGGUGCAGGGCGGAUGCCUUGGCACUAGGAGCCGAUGAAGGACGUGAUAAGCUGCGAUAAGCUUCGGGGAGUUGCACGUAAACUUUGAUCCGAAGAUUUCCGAAUGAGGAAACUCACUUAGAGUAAUGUCUAAGUAUCAUUAAGUGAAUACAUAGCUUAAUGAGGGGAACUCAGGGAACUGAAACAUCUAAGUACCUGAAGGAAGAGAAAGAAAUUCGAUUCCGUAAGUAGCGGCGAGCGAACGCGGAUUAGCCCAAACCAAUAAAGUUUUCUUUAUUGGGGUUGCGGACAUAUCAUAACGAAGAGGUAUCGUAAUUGAAGAGGUUUGGAAAGACCCACCAC